UUUCUUGUGCAGUGCAUAUUUGAGUUUUUGAGCCAAAGAUGUCUUCGGAUUAUAGCGAACCUAUUACUGUUGAUGAUGCCGAGUUGGAUGACGAUGUAUCUCAAGGACCCACAAAGAGGAUUCGAAAACUAACUUCAAAGAGGUGGAGCAAUAGUUGGAGGAGUUGGUGUUUCCAAGUAAUGAGAGCUUCAAUAUUCUACAUUGGUGGAAAGUGAAUAAAGCAAAAUUUCCUACUUUGGCAAGGAUGGCUCGUGAUGUUUUAAGUGUUCCAGCCACUACGGUUGCAUCAGAGGCGGCGUUUAGUGUAGGAGGUAGGGUGAUUGAUGAGACACGUGCUUCAUUACUUCUAGAUAUUGUGGAGGCCUUGGUCACUUGCAAUGAUUGGAUUGAAUCAACCAAAAAUAGUAAUGUAGAAGAAUGCUGACGUGAGUAGAUGGAUUGAACUUUUGUUUCUAUAAAUAUCUUAAUGUGUUCUGAGAAGUUAUCUUAAGCUGCAGCCUUGUCACUGUCACAUUUAGGUCAGUAUAUUUCUCAUCUCUGCCUUUUACAAUUUGGGUUUUGUCAUUAUGGUACAUGCACUUUGGAAAUGGUAUAAAGGGGAUAAGUUCACUUGAUUUUGUUUCCUUUUCUCUUACAUCUACAGAAAGUGAAGAAAUUCACUUUGGCAGAACAGAGCAAAGGGCAAGCAGAUUCUAAGAGCAAGAAGGAUGGUUAGAUCUUGAAUGGGUUGGAUACUUGGAGAUAAGAUGAAAAUCUUGGUUCUUUCAUUUUUCUUCUAAUUUAGAUACCAACAACCACUGAGAUUAUACUUCUCAAAUUGUUUGUUCUGUAACUCAAUCUGAAUAUC